UACGAGAGGCCCAAACGUUAUUCGGAAUUACUGGGCUUAAAGAGUUCGUAGGCGGUAUGACAAGUAGGGUGUGAAAGCCCUCGGCUCAACCGAGGAAUUGCGCUCUAAACUGUCGUACUCGAGGAACCUAGAGGUGAGCAGAACUGAUGGUGGAGCGGUGAAAUUCGUAGAUAUCAAGCAGAACACCUGCGGCGAAGGCGGCCUUCUGGACGAUGACUGACGCUGAGACGCGAAAGCGUAGGGAGCAAACAGG
rnacentral:rRNA from 1 species